CUGAGUGUACACCCAUGCCAGUGCCCUCCACUGCAUCCUCGUCUCCCCAGAGAAACAGGUCUGUCCAGCUCUGUGCGUUACUGCAUCCUCUUCCUCCUGGCCCUCCUCCUCCUCCUCCUCCUCCCCUCCUUCUCUCCAUCUUGUCUGAAACAGCGGCGGCUCAUCCUCCAGCUCCAUGCUGGCACCUGAUGAUGAUGAUGAUGAUACAGGUAGAGCGUUCAGGCCUCUUGGGUCCACUUUUAAUGUGAACUUCUGCUCUGGAAUUUCACCUCUUCCAUGCUCUGACAUGGGAAAAAAAAAUUUUUAUUAGAUUUUUUUUUCAUAGUAACUCAAUAACACACAAAGAUAAAGAGAAACCUCAGAAAA